UUAAGGCCACAUCUGGGCCUCCUUCCAUCAUGUCUAUGCUGCCUACACACUAGGCUCUCCAGCAUCCCUGCACGUACUUAUGUAAUGCUGUUUCAGGAGGAAAUGUCCUGGAGGCCCCAGCCUCUGUCAGGCCAUGAGAUGACCUGAAUGCAGAUAUAGUGGGAUUCAUCACCUCUGCAUCCUUCAGUCCUCGGUGGUGGUCCUAAUCUCUGCAGCCCCUCCAGGAAUGCGACACUCAGAUCAACUAGCUACCACCAUAGGUUUCUGUGAGUCAAAUGGAUUCUCAUUAUUGCCUUGACUUCACUAUCCAUUACAGAAACCAUAACCACCUUGUCUCUUGAGAUUCAGUGCCUCUGCUUGGUCUCUGCUGCCCGAGGAUCCAGGUGUCCUCACUGCAUAUCAAGAUCCCAGGUCACUGGCAGCAGUUCCACUGUAAUGUCUGCCCUAAAGAGGAGAGUGGCCACAGAGCUCUUCACGGACUCUGGGGCUGCCCUCAUGAAUUUAUUUCCACAGUAGUAGUGCAAGUGUGUCCUCUGGACCCUGUUGGGGUGGGUAGGCAUGUCUUACAUGAUAAAUACACUCUAACGUUCCAAUCACCUAAGCCUUGGAUACCUUCUUCUAUAGGAGACCAAGGAAGGUCAGCCUCACUUAGUGUAUUCCCGGCAACCAACGACACUGCUGGAACUCUUUGUGCCCUCUCAAGACACAGCAAAGAGUAGAGAAUCUCUGCUUAGUGGGCCCAUAUCAAUAAAUUAGACCGGAUCCAACUUUAUGUUCCUUCCGCCAUUAUCCAAACCCCUUAAUAGCCAUUUGCACACAGUUUUCCUAGAUUUGUUUCUGUAUACACUGGGGAAAGGAUGCAGCUAUUUUGGAACGUAGCACAACUCCUCAUGGGUCAUAUUUUACACUUCAGUCUCUGGGACAUGCUGGGAAUUGAGGCUACUAGGUCUAGUAGCAAAUGGGGCUGGUGGGUGUAGGUCCUCAGGAGAAUCAGCAAUACUUCCAAGGCAGCUUCCCGGGGGAGACCAUUACCGAGUCCUUAGGAAAAGCAGAGUUCACCCCCUCACGCAGGGCUGGGAGGGCUUCUUCGUUGGCAAAGAAGACUGUACAAUCUUAUAAUCAUUUUUAUUCCCAUAGAGUCGGUAGUAAUAUCCAACGUUCAUUUCUGGUUAUAAUAAUUUUAUCUAUUUUCUUUUUUGCUGGUUAGUCUAGCUAAAAGUUUGCCAAUUUUAUUGCUUUUUUCCUAGAAAACACUUUUGAUUUGACUGAUUUUCCCUCUUGUUUUCCUGUUCUUUAUUUCACCUCUGCUCAUAUUUAUUAUAAGCCUCUUUUUGCUGGUUUCAGGGUUGGUUUACUCUUCAUUUUCUACUCUUCAAGGUGUAAAGUUAGGUUAUGGU